GCCUCUUUAGCUCAGUUGGUAGAGCGCGGCACUAGUAUUCCUGCCAUGCCGAGGUCACCGGUUCGACUCCGUUAGGAGGCA
rnacentral:tRNA from 1 species